UCUCUCUCUCUCUCUCUCUCUCUCUCUCUCUCUCUCUCUCUCUCCCUCCUUCACCUCCUCUCUCCUCCCUAACUUGCUUGUUCUCAGGCUGUUUCUGUCCUGUCCAUAUGUUCUGUAUAAAACUAAUAUAAAACUCAACAGGUGUACACAGAAAAUUAUAACAUUCAUUUGUAGUAUAAAUCUGUCCUAUAGCUACAGGUUUAUAUAUCUAUUCACCUAUGACUGGAUGCCUCUUUCAAACCAAAGGCAUUUCACGCAUACAUUUUCUAUUGAUAUUGUCAGAGGUUUAUGUGCCAUUAAUAGGGCAUACCCGACGACAUAUAUGAUUUGUCUUUAUACAACUUUGCAAGUAGUGAUAUAUAUGACUUUUACAAAACCUUUUGCACGUGGUGAAACUUAUGUACACACAGGUGCACGCGCACACACACACCCUCUUACACACUAAAAAGUACCAGGAAUUUAUACACACUGGCUCAUCGAUGCAUAAAAAAGUGAGCUACUAUUUCCCGGAUUUCGUACCCAAAUUGGACUGACUAGAAUACUGUUGAAUCUCCAAAGUCCCAAUUUUGUCCAUUAUAGUCCUGCAUGCACGCGCUGAAAGGUGUUAGCCUGGACGCAAAAUUGAAUGACAAUAGAGUAAAGCGUUUUAUUGUCGUUGGACUAUAGCUUCAGGUCCAGGCGCUCUGUUAUGCUAACACCCACAGAGAAGAGAUUUCCGUAAACGUUAUGGUUAAAAUAAUGUAACAUUAUACGCUUAUACUAUCUUCUCUAUUCCCCUAAAUUGCUUGACUUUUAUGUGCCCAAGCUGCAACAGCGUUUUUGUGGAUUGUUUGGUACCAGAUUCCAGUGGGUCUGUUCUUAAUAACUAAAGAAUGCAUCAGAGGUUUACCCAAAAUACAAAAGUGGGGGAUGACAAACAAAUAUGCAACUGUAAAGCAAUAAUCCCCCGAAACAGUCAUCCACCUCCCUCUCAUUUAGCUCCACUAAAGUGUAACAAGAGGUUGAAAGAGGAUAUACAUGAAAGGAAUAACAUGAAAAUAACGCUGAAAACAAAAUAUUGGGUGGCAUUGCAUAGGCUUUACUGAUAAGUUUUCAUUUCUUUCUUAAGAACAAUAAAGAAAAAGGUGGAAAGGGGGGAUUUUGGGGCAAUAGAUAUAUAUCAGCUCAUCUCAAACUCAGCCAGCUCCAUGUUAAUUCCCACCUUUCUUCUGCGGUCCGAUGAAAGGUGCCGUUUAUGUGGAUGGAAAGGAAGGCUAGUAGCAGUUCCUUUCGGCUGCACUUUUAGAAGGGUCGGUUCCUUUGCAUGAACGAAAAACACUUCCAUUUUGGGACAUUUAAAUACUGGUACUGAGAACUACAGACUUUGUCCUUGUAAAACCCAUGGAAAUCAUUGUGUCUAUGGCAAGUCUUCAAGGACAAACAGAGCAGCUAUCUCCAUCACAACAGACCAAAGGGGAACAAAUGGAAGAGCAAACUGCCACAGUUUGAUAAGAAAAGACUGUCUACCAAGACUCCUCAUGAGCAUGGAUGAUGCUAACAAAUGGCAUCCCAGAAACUUCUCAUCAGCCCAGGAAGUGAGGACAUGCUGCGAUUGCACUGAUUGGAUGAUGAGACCGGUGGAUUUGAAGAAGGGGGAGAGUGGUAGGUUGUCUAGGGGCCAAAGGGCAGAAAUGUUUGCCCCUGACAAAGUCAACAGGAUAUCAUUUCUUCUUCCACAAGACACUUGCCCACCAGGUGCACACCUGCACGUGCACGCGAAUCCAAGCACGAUGCGAGUAGUAUGGACCCCUUGAUAGGCUGCUGCCGCCGUGUGUAUCUUGAGUCAUGUUGUGUCUCUCGGUUCCCUGAAGGGGCAGAAAGAAGGACCAAAAUACAUAAAAAAACACAGCAGACAUGAAGCAGAUGGAUGGAUAUAUAAAUAUAUAUAUACAUAUAUAUAUAUUGUCAAUAAUGAAAACAGAGAAUGCUAUGGCUGUUUUUGAUCAUCAGCUUCAUGUGGUCUAUUCUGACUUGUCUCAACACAUUUUUUCACGUGGCCCUGAAUGACUGUUGUUCGUUAAAAGUUUCAUCUCUUAAAAUAAGACGAAGCGUAAAGUAUUCUACAACAGGUGACCAGAAUGCAACCUGGUAGAGAUAUUUCGCUAUCCCUAGCAAUAUACUGAGUAUGGUGUAAAUAUCUUCUGCGUUUGUUUGUUGGUUUGUUUCCAUUUGAAUUUGUUUGUUUUGUUUUUGUACUGUGUUUUCAAGAAUUGUACACAAAAAUGUGUGUGAACGAUAGAACAAUGAUUUCAAGUGCUUCCAGAUUUUUAGAAUCAAGGUCAUUAACAUCUCCCCCAGCCCCCAUUUUACACACAGAUACACAUGCAAUAUACACCUGUACAUACACAUACAAAAAACACACACAUUCAUCUGAAAAAAAAAUCUAAAAAGAUAUAGACAUCAAUGAAAAAUAAUGCAUCGUAUCCAAUUAUAUUGAACCAUCUGCUGAACCAUGAAAUGAAACGUUUUUUCUGUGCAGCUUUUACAUUCUGCGACAUGAAAUUAAAACUACUGAAAAACCCAGAAAAAAGAUUUUAAAAAAAAAUGCGUCCCAUGCUGUUUGAUAAUUAAAUGGACAGCUCUUAGCUACCUUGGAUUGCUAUGUUCUUCUUGUGUAUAUAUAUAUGCCGUGCCAUUUGUGUGCUGUGAAAUUUGUCAUCUUACUACAGCUUGUAUAAGGGCUUUUUGUAGACGUAAAAUACAAAAUGGACUCACUGACGUCACAAGAUAUUUCUCCCUGGAGGCUUUUUUAAGAGGUAGUGGGGAGGCAAGAUGACGAGUUUGAAUUUCCCUAUGUAUAAAAAACACAAAGACAAGAAAUGCGAUAUAAAUAAAGUUUUGACUGAUUCAUCCACUGCAA
ensembl:lncRNA